rnacentral:rRNA from 1 species
UGGGGAAUCUUGGACAAUGGGCGCAAGCCUGAUCCAGCGACGCCGCGUGGGUGGUAAGGCCUUCGGGUUGUAAAGCCCUUUUCUCGGGGACGAUGAUGACGGUACCCGAGGAAUAAGCACCGGCUAACUCCGUGCCAGCAGCCGCGGUAAGACGGAGGGUGCUAGCGUUGUUCGGAAUUACUGGGCGUAAAGGGCGCGUAGGCGGCCUUUCAAGUCGGGUGUGAAAGCCCGGGGCUCAACCCCGGAACGGCACUCGAAACUGGGAGGCUUGAGACCGGGAGAGGAGAGUGGAAUACCCAGUGUAGAGGUGAAAUUCGUAGAUAUUGGGUGGAACACCGGUGGCGAAAGCGGCUCUCUGGUCCGGCUCUGACGCUGAGGCGCGAAAGCGUGGGGAGCAAACAGGAUUAGAUACCCGGGUAGUCC